CCCGCCUCGGCGCCCCGCCGGCAUCCUCAGACCUGGCCUCGUGAGGCGCCGGGUGUCGUGGGGUCCCCAGCUCCCCUUCCUCACCUAAAAAUUCUCGCCGCGCCCCCUCCCUCCCUGGCUCCCUGAACAGCGUCCAGCCCGCGGUCCCUUUUCCGGACCUGGGUGGCGUGCGGUCCUCCCCCGCCCCCAGCUUAGGUUCCUGCGCCCCUAGUCCUAGCUCCCCUCUUUUGUACUCCCCCUUUAAUCCCCAUCCCCCCAUUCAACCCAACUUCAGCCCCCGCGCUGCGCCCCCCUUCCCUGGCCCGGCUCGAUUGGCCGCUCCCUGAGCUGUCAGGCUUGAGUCCGGCGCUCUUAUUGGGCGAUUCUCUGGCCGAGCGGCUGUGCCAAAGGAAGGCGCACCGGGCUGGGGGCGCCCAGGCAGCCACUGCCGCAGGGAGCCGAAGACCAGAGUCCCUGGAGGGCCGGAGGGGCCCGAGAGCCAGACCCGAAAAUGGACGGGGGAGAUGGAGAGACCGAGGAUCUCUGAGGCGCAGGAAGACAGUGACGGAAAAGAUGGAGAUGCAGUGGACAUCCCACCUGAUAAGAAAACAGCCUUUCCACUCAACACAGAGAAGGAUUGAGGGGAAGAAUGCUAAACUUGGAGUUAGAACACCUGGAGGUUCUACGCCAGCUCUACCACUUCCCAGCUGUGUGGCAUCUAACAAGUCACUCUACCUCUCUGAACUGCAGUCCCUGGUAAGGGUAACUGCUCUCCUACCUGUCUUGAUGACUUGUUAUGAGGAUCCUGGACAAUGAUGUAAAAUUCCUUUUCAAAGUAUUCAUCCUUAAGUAAAAUGGGGGUCAUUCUUAAUAAUAGCAAAUUAAUAAAUUCAUUCUUAAUAAAUCCAGAUGUUCAUUUAAGAGAUGAACAUGGAAUAAGGUACUUCUCUGGGUCUCAGGCUCUUGCAUACAUUUAUAGAUGACUGUGAUAAGUAUUUUUAUGUCUGUGCUGCGUGUGUACCAGCUCGUCUAGUAGUCUGGGAGAUCUACUCUUUAAUCUCUGCUGUGUUCAAAGCAGGGCCCCCAGGGCCAUGCAGAUGAGGUCUCUGUUCUCAAAGAUUCCCUCUUUCAGGAUUCUGACAGACUACAGCCUGUCUGCCAGGCAGACUGGAGAGCUGCGCCCUCCUGCAGGCGUGGGUGGUGAUUAGAGUGGUCUGUGAGGAGCUCGAGUGGAGCUGAGUGUUGUUUUUCCUCUCACUGGCCACUCUGCUUGGCCUUGGAGUGGUUUUGUCCAGUCUCUGUAUCACUGACUGUGAAUCUGUGAUUGGGGGUGACAAGCCAAGCCGUGUUAGCGAUCAUGCUGGGGCUGGCUGACCUUCCCCAAGCCAGGAUAAUCUCUUUCCCUGGCAACAGGCAGAGGCACCGAGGGACAGUGACAGAUUGUGAAAUCCUGGGGCUGGGCUUUCUAGAAUUACUUAAAAAGAGGGAAUGGUCACAAUACCUUGCAUUUGUAUUGUGCUUUUAAAAAGAAAGAAAGCGGUCUUUAAAAGCUAUUCAAGGAGAAGGCAGCUUUGGAAUUGUCUGGUAGAGAGGGAACCAGAUAGGUAAGAAACGUGUUGUCUUAUUCUUAUCAACUCAGUAACAAUGAGAGUAGUAGAACUCUACACUCCCCUCCACUUCCCCAUCCCCACACAGGUGAGGAUGCAGAGGAAGACAGAAGUAGGGGGACUUAAUACCACACAGCAUUAGGGGCAGAAUUUGACCUACUCUUGACUUUCAUUGUCAGCCCAAAGCAGGCAGAAAGGAUAAAGAAGCUGAAUGACCUAACAGUUUGCUUUGUCCACCUGAGAUUCUGGCAUGUAGACAGCUCUUCCUGAGUCAGCCUUCAUACUUGGCCUGCUGGGGCAUACAAGAAAAUGCUUCAUUGCUUCUAGGUCUGAAAGCAAUGAAGAAAUGUAGGGGUGGCGAAUAAGAAAAAUUGCCAUUCUCUUACCUACCCAAGGUGAGGUCACUAAGCAAAGCAGGAGCAGAUUCAACAGACAGGGAUGGAUCGGGCUGCUUGUGGUGCUCAGGGAGUUUUAGUGAUAUGUGAGGAUUUAAAGAGGGCAUCAGCAAACUCUGGUCAGUGGACCAAAUGUGGCCACUGCCUGUUCUUAGAAAUAAAGUUUGAUUGAAACACAACCACAGUCAUUCAUUUUUGUCUCAGCUGCUUUUGCACUACAUGGAGAGCUAAGUAGUAAUGACCAAGAUCAGACGGCCCACAAAGCCUAAAAUCUUUACUAUCUGAUCCUUUAAGAAAGAGUUUGCCCACCCCAACUCACACCAUAUACACAAAAUAUUAACUAGAAAUUUAUCAUAGACCUAAAUGUAAGACUUAAAACUGUAAGACGGGUACACAGGUGAAAAUCUUUGUGACCAUGGAUUACAGAGAUUUCUUUGCCAUAACACCAAAAGUACAAUUCAUUAUUUUUCAAAUUAUUUGAAAAUUUUUUUGGUAAAUUGGAGUUUACCAAAAUUAAGAACUCUUCAAAAGACAUUAUUAAAUGAAUGAAAAGACACACCACAGACUGGAAGAAGUUAUUUGCAGAUAAACAUAUCUGACAAAGGAUUUGUAGGCAGCAUCUAAAAAGAAAGAAAAGCUAGAUUAAUGAGCGAACAUCCUAAUAAAAAUGGGUAAAAAAUUUGAACAGAUAUUUCACCAAAAAUGGGUGAAAAUAUAUGGUUAACACAUAAGGACAUGAAAAGAGGCUCAACAUCCUGAGUCAUCAGGGAGAAGCAAAUUAAAAAUCACUGUGAGAUGCCACCACCAACCAUGAGAAUGUCUAAAAUUAAAGAGCGACCAUACCAAGCUGUUGCACAGGAUAUGGAGCAAUUGGAACGCUCAUACACUGCUGGUGGAAAUGUGAAAUGGUACAGCCCCAGUCAAAUAGCUCCACAGUUUCUUAAAAAGUUAAGCACAUGCAUACAGUAUAAUCCAUCACACUCCUAGGUAUUUACCCAAGAAAAAUCAAAGUGUAUAAGCAUGUGUCCACACAAAGACCUUUAUGCUAAUAUUCAUAGCAACUUUAUUCACAACUAAAAACAUCCCAAAUAUCCAUUAACAAGUGACUAGAUAAAAAAAUUUGGUAAGUCCACGUAAUGGAACACUACUCAGUAAUAAAAAGGGAUGAACUAUCGAUACAUUCAACAACAUGAAUUAACCUUAAGACGAUUAUAAUAAUUACCCUGAGUGGAAGAAGCCAGACAAAAGAGAUUUAUAAAAAAAUUUUAGAAAAUGCAAACUAAUCUGUAAGUGAAUAGAAAGCAGCUCUGUGGUUGCCUGGGAAUGGCAGGGAGGCGAAGAAGAGGAGAGACUGAUGGAAAGGAAAACUUGGGCCAGGCAGGAGGUGGGGAUAAUUGAUGUUCAUUGUCUUGAUUGUGGUGAUGAUUUCACAGGUUCAUAUGUGUGUGUGUGUGUGUGUGUGUAUACAUGUAUAUGUCAAAACAUAUAAAGCAGUCAAAAAAUAAAAUUGUGUAAUUCAAAUAUAUGUAAUUUAUUGUAUGUCAAUAUACACAACUAUAUUGACAAUAAGCUAUUUUUUAAAUUGAGGUAAGACUGACAUGUCAUAUUAUAUAUAAAGGUAUUUUUUAAAGGCA